ensembl:lncRNA
GGGGCUGGCGGCCCUCUCCUCAACACAUGCCCACCACCGUACCCUGCUUCAUCUGCGAACCAGCAACCUCCGUCUGCAGGAGCACAUAUCAAAGUUCACUACACCCGGCAGAGGGAGGAAAAGGAAGCGGCAGUGAAAGCAGCACAGGAACGACUCCUUGGCGAAGAGGAGGAAAAGAGACAGGCUGCUCUCCCCACUCGCUCUCGCUCUCCAGGAGAAACCGGAGGGGACACUUCUGCCAUCAACAAACUGAUUGCAGAGCAACCAUCUACAUCAGAUGUUGUUUCCCCCUCUUUCGACCCAGAGGGAGUUCCCCCGGAUGCAAAAUCUGUGCUCCAAACCCCAAUGAUUCAAGUACCAGGACACUCAGGUCCCAUACUUGUUUUCCUGGGACUGAUACGGACAUUAGAGCUGCAAUGGCUCAUCUCCCGCCGAUACAGCACUCGGGAAGACUGUUUGCUGAAGCAUUCAUGGACUUCUGUAAGCAAUUCCUGCCCAACUUUGCUGAAAUUCGACGUGUUCUAAUGAGUCACGUGGGUCCGACUCACUACCAGAAGCUCAACCAGCUGGUUGCAGGAGACACCAGUGCGGCCGACGUUGAAUGGAGUUCAAAUCAAAAUAAGCCGUACAGAGACGCACUCACGGCUUUGAGCGACGGCAUAAAGACUUUGUUCCCUGACAAAGUGGAUAUGACUCCCAUCAACAAUACCAAGCAGGCAGCGGGGACAUUGGCACAGAGAAUGUCCACAAAAUGCAUCUCGUAGAGGAUGGGGGCGUGGACUGGCCAGACGAGGAAGGGGUGGCAUCGCACAUUCCGAUUGACGUGAGGCGGAGGGGGAGGAGGCUGCAUGUGAGGGGGAGACGGCAACCAUGCUGAGGCCUCACAUGAUAAGGGAAGUAAAACACACACACACACCAGCCUGCAAUGAAGAAACGCUUUCUGCACUAACUCCCUGCACGCACACGCACACUCACACACACACACCGGAGCAACAACAAGCUCUCGUGGACAUCACAGAGCAAUUGAGAACACAACAAAAGCUUUCACUUAAACACACAUAUGCAAAGUUUUCAGGAAAAUCAUUUGAAAAUAUGCCCACCACUAUGGUGCAAAUUCAAGGGAAACUUUUAUCGUUUUUGGUUGAUUCGGGGGCUACACAUUCUGUAAUACAACAGAAGUAUUUUCCAGGUCAGAAACUUAGUGGAAAACAGGUUUUCUCACAAGGAGCUUCAGGGAUGACUA